CCUUGAUAUACUAUUCUAAUUGAAUACUUUUUCAGGUAAUUAAAAUGAUUUUUUUCUUAAAUUCAACUUAGCAUAUCCUUCACACAAUACUGAGACAGCAGUCAGCUCAAACGCAUUUAUCAGAUUAUGCAAAGAAAACACCUGCCUCAUAGCUUGCAGUUCUCUAAUUAAGAAUUUGUGCGAUCUUUCGAGAAAUAAUUUACACUGAAAAUAAGAAAGGGUGACAUCAUUCUUUAACCUCCUAAUUGGAAAUUGAGUCUCUAUAUACACCACUUUAUUUGCGUACAGUAUAUAAGAAAAUUGUGAUAAGAGCGAUAGGGUAUAUAGUCUCCCUUUUCAUACUUCACAUAAGCAAACUUAAUCUUUAAAGAUCUGGCGCUUGAUGAAUGCCAGUUUUACAACUCUCUCAAGCAGUACUGUAUUGUAUAUCCUCUAGUUCUGCUUGCUAAUCAUAAUUAAGAGUAGAUGUGUAUCUUAAUCUGUAUUCUGGUUAGAUAAAAAUAUGAUCUGUUAGUGACCUAUGCAGAAAUCGGGUCUGCAGCUUGGAGCACAGCAGUAAGAUGUUGGGACAGAAUUAAUUGAAAUGGAGAUAAUGUCAGUGCAGUCUGAAGGUACUGUAUAUGUAGACAUGCUUAUAUGAUUUCCACAUGUGUACUCUUUUUUUGUACUGUACAUUUGUAGGUUCAUGAAUAAAAAUAAGGCCACCUUCACUGACUAUUUGACAUCUGAUGACAGAAGGGAAUUCUUAGAGAAGGCUGAGUUUCGCUUUCUUCAGAUCAAAAGGCCAGAUGUUGCACAUGUUCCCGGGUGCCUCAAGUGGUAAAGAUGAGUACAGGUUGAGCUCCACGAUCUGGAUGUGAUGGGUUGAAAACUGGGUUAUGCCUCCAGCCUAUUGUCUGGGAUUCCCUCAGCAGAAGAUAAUGACUCUUUCAACCUCCCAUGCACUUGCAGCAUAUGUAGUCAGACCCCAGAUUGAAGACUCCAUCAGAGGCAUUCAGCAGCUUCCAAGCCACACAGAUGCAGCAAGCAUCAAGCUUUGUUUUGAAAUACCCAUCACCUUUGGAGUUCAUUCAAGCCAACCCCAUAUACUCACAGGACUACACAAGACACAUGAGCCAUGACAUCCAUAUGAUUUGUGUCUGGAACCCUGAUUCAAGCCAUGGGCACUCCUUUUAUUUCUUAUGAUUUUGUCGCUGUUAAGAAUAUUUUGUUAAUUGAUUUGUACCACAUUUACUCAUGGAUUGAGUUGACAAUAAACUCAUAAGUUUUUGGAUGUGUAAGAGGAAAUACAUUUCAGCUGCAUUCAGUUAUUAUUUCUUUAUUGGUCAGAGUUUGUAAAUAAAUGUUAGAGAAUUGUCCUUCCAUGGAAAUAAUGUUUUUCUGUUUGAUAACAGUUCUAUAUUUAAAUAUACAGUAAUGUGUAUUUACUGUACAGUAGAUGUUGUAAACAGGCUGCCAGUAACUUGGAAAGAUGAAGAGAUUGCAUUAGACUUUAAUAAUGUUUUUUAAUUUAAACUAAUUUCAAGAAGAGGCCACAUCUUCAUUUGAUUAUCUUUAAUUGAAUUGCUUAACUUUGCUUUCAGUGAUUAAAAGAUAAAAAUGGAACAUGAUCAUUUAUGCUCAGCAUGGCAUGUAACCAAGUCCUGUAAUGCAGAAUCAUAAAUUGUACUGACAUGAAUAAUAAAAAAUAAAUGCACUAGACGUCUCC
ensembl:lincRNA